GCCCGGUUAGCUCAAUCGGUAGAGCGUGAGACUCUUAUGAGUACACAACUCUAAAAUAUUAUCUCAAGGCUGUGGGUUCGACCCCCACAUCGGGCU
rnacentral:tRNA from 1 species